rnacentral:tRNA from 1 species
CCGUUCAGGCCCGGCCCGUUCAGGCGCGGCCGGUUCAGGUCCGGCCGGUUCAGGUCCGGCCGGUUCAGGUCCGGCCGAAUCGC